rnacentral:lncRNA from 1 species
CUAGUAUUUGCUGAACCUGAAAACUUCUUUAAGCUGCAGUUGUUGUGCUGGCCUCCUAGGAUAUUCAGCAGCUGGUCCUGUCACCUUCCAGGUAUUCAUAUGCUCAGCCAAAUCUGCAUAACUGUAAAUCAACACUAAGAGCAGUGGAAGGUUAAAGGUAAAGGAGAGUCUCACAAAGGAUCCAGGUCUCCAUAUGCUCAGUCAAAUCUCCAUAACUGUAAAUCAACACUAAGAACACUGGAUGGUUAAUGUCAAGGAGAGUCUCACAAAGGAUCCAGAUUGAAAGCAGUUCCCGGCCAAUGCACCAAAUGAAAGACCCCCGAAGGGAGACCCUUACUCAAACACUCAAGUCCCGGGACAGCCGCGUACCCAAGAAGACACUGAGACCAUACAUAAAAUGUAGAAGACCUUGAUCUGAAAUUUCAAGAAGAAUUCAAUCUUUGUUCUUCACAGAGACCCUGGGAGAAGGACAGCAACAAGAAUGAGUGUGUGUCUGGUAAAUACACCACAGGGUCUGUUAACCUUCAAGGACGUGGCCUUGGACUUCUCACUGGAGGAAUGGGAAUCUCUCAGUUUUGCUCAGAGGACAUUGUACAUGGAUGUGAUGUUGGAGAAUUACAAUAAUCUGUUAUUUGUGGAAAAUCAUUGCAUAUGUGGAAAGUAUGAGAAGGUCUUGGAUCAAGACAGCCAGUACAUUGUCCAUGAACACAUGAAUAUUCAAGAGAAGUCUUCUAAAUGG